rnacentral:rRNA from 1 species
CCUACGGGAGGCUGCAGUGGGGAAUAUUGGACAAUGGGGGCAACCCUGAUCCAGCCAUGCCGCGUGUGUGAAGAAGGCCCUCGGGUUGUAAAGCACUUUCAGUGAGGAAGAACGCCUGGUGGUUAAUACCCAUCAGGAAAGACAUCACUCACAGAAGAAGCACCGGCUAACUCCGUGCCAGCAGCCGCGGUAAUACGGCGGGUGCGAGCGUUAAUCGGAAUUACUGGGCGUAAAGCGCGCGUAGGUGGCUUGAUAAGCCGGUUGUGAAAGCCCCGGGCUCAACCUGGGAACGGCAUCCGGAACUGUCAAGCUAGAGUGCAGGAGAGGAAGGUAGAAUUCCCGGUGUAGCGGUGAAAUGCGUAGAGAUCGGGAGGAAUACCAGUGGUGAAGGCGGCCUUCUGGACUGACACUGACACUGAGGUGCGAAAGCGUGGGUAGCAAACAGGAUUAGAUACCCUAGUAGUC